UAAAGAAAUAGUUCAGACAAAGAAGAAAGCGAAUGAUUUCGAGGGGAACACAAUCUACUAUAAUUAGUUGUUCCACAGAUGGACGCGUAUACGUAAUAGAAGAUAACAUACGCUUUUUUUAAAUUUGUACAUCAUGAGCGAAGGUUGGAAUUUAUCUUUUCUACGGGUUUUUGUCUUUCUUAAAUUGCACGAUGGACAAAAUGAAAUUGUACAAGUUUUUCGAAACUACACUUAAGUUAAAAAUGAAAAAUGAUGCUGGCAACGUCUAUCUCACGUUUUGAACAAGAUUGUCUGCAAUAAAUGAGAGACGAAUGAUGUUUCAGAAAAUGGGAGAUUUGCUCGAAUAGUGGGUACUCUACCAAUAAAUGCCUGGUCCAUUGGAUUCAAAAUCUAAUCAACAAAUUCCAAUUUUUAAAUAAACGAUAUAAACUAUUAGCUUUCGUGUAUCUUUGUGAUAUUCUUAAUAUUACUCAUACAGACAUUCGAUUCCUUUAUUAUUUUAAAAGAAAGGAGAAAGGUUUAAUUUGAUCGAUGAAAUAAUUCAUCAAAUUUCGAACUUCUGUUCAAUUUGACAACUUAAUGGAAUGUCAAUCUACCUGUAAACUGAAAGAAAUCCAUCAGAAAAAGAUUCUAAGAAUCUGUCAUGAGUUUACAGAUCGAUCAGAAGAUUACAAAAAUAAGAUCAAAAAACCAGAGAAAACCAAAGUUAUAUCACUCCUUCUAAAACCAGUCUACAAUAUACGAUAACAAUAUACGAUAAUCUUCUAAAACCUUAUACCAGUCUACAAUAUACGAUAACGAUAUUAUAAAACUCCUAAAUAUAUAUAAAAUAUCGAUAUAAGAUUGCAAAAUUUCAUAGAAAGACCUCACUAACUAUAAUCUUGAAAAUGAUCAAAAAAGAAAUUCUUUAAAAUUCUUGAAAAAAAAGAAAAAGAUAAUAAAAAAUAAACCAAAAUAAAUUCUACUAAUUGUUGAUACGUCUAUGAAAAAAAAAAAAACAAAA